UCCAGACUCCUACGGGAGGCAGCAGUGAGGAAUAUUGGUCAAUGGGCUUACGCCUGAACCAGCCAAGUCGCGUGAGGGAAGACUGCCCUAUGGGUUGUAAACCUCUUUUGUCAGGGAGCAAUUGGCGCUACGUGUAGCGUUAUCGAGAGUACCUGAAGAAAAAGCAUCGGCUAACUCCGUGCCAGCAGCCGCGGUAAUACGGAGGAUGCGAGCGUUAUCCGGAUUUAUUGGGUUUAAAGGGUGCGUAGGCGGAAUGCCAAGUCAGCGGUAAAAUCGCGGGGCUCAACCUCGCUCCGCCGUUGAAACUGGCGUUCUUGAGUGGGCGAGAAGUAUGCGGAAUGCGUGGUGUAGCGGUGAAAUGCAUAGAUAUUACACAGAACACCGAUUGCGAAGGCAGCUUGCUAGGCCGGAUCUGACACUGAUGCACGAAAGCGUGGGGAUCGAACAGGAUUAGAUACCCCAGUAA
rnacentral:rRNA from 1 species